CGGGGCGUAGCGCAGUCUGGUAGCGCAUCUGCUUUGGGAGCAGAGGGUCGCUGGUUCGAAUCCGGCCGCCCCGACCA
rnacentral:tRNA from 2 species